rnacentral:rRNA from 1 species
GACCUCAAAUCAGGUAGGACUACCCGCUGAACUUAAGCAUAUCAAUAAGCGGAGGAAAAGAAACUAACAAGGAUUCCCCUAGUAACGGCGAGUGAAGCGGGAAGAGCUCAAAUUUGAAAUCUGGCGUGCUCCGUGCGUCCGAGUUGUAAUCUAUAGAAGCGUUUUCUGUGCCGGUCCGUGUCCAAGUCCCUUGGAACAGGGUAUCAAAGAGGGUGACAAUCCCGUGCUUGACAUGACCGCCGGUGCUCUGUGAUACGUUUUCUACGAGUCGAGUUGUUUGGGAAUGCAGCUCAAAAUGGGUGGUAAAUUCCAUCUAAAGCUAAAUAUAGGCGAGAGACCGAUAGCGAACAAGUACCGUGAGGGAAAGAUGAAAAGCACUUUGGAAAGAGAGUUAAACAGUACGUGAAAUUGUUGAAAGGGAAACGA